GAUUACAUCACAAAGGUGAAGCAGCUGUUGCAAGGAGUUACUGCCUCUGCUUGAUGUUUGUGACUCUGUAUUCCCUCUAGGGGCUUCUUUGUCGCUAUGUUUGAAACUCGUACCCAAUAAGAAUUAUAUAUGAUCGUUCUCUUUGGUACUUUCCAAAAUGUCACGUGUCUAAGCCAGUUUGAUUGUAUUCCUUGCAUUUCACUUAUUGUGUGUCUUGCCUUUAGCAAGUUCUUGAAAAUGGAAGGUCUAUUCAGAAACUUCUGAUCCACAACUGUGAGCUAUUUUGCGGAAUGUGAUGGAUGUGUUGCCUGGGA